UACGUAGGGUGCAAGCGUUGUCCGGAAUUAUUGGGCGUAAAGGGCUUGUAGGCGGUUUGUCGCGUCUGCUGUGAAAUUUCGGGGCUCAACCCCGAACUUGCAGUGGGUACGGGCAGACUAGAGUGUGGUAGGGGAGACUGGAAUUCCUGGUGUAGCGGUGAAAUGCGCAGAUAUCAGGAAGAACACCUAUGGCGAAGGCAGCUCUCUGGGACGGUACUGACGCUGAGACGCGAAAGCGUGGGGAGCGAACAGG
rnacentral:rRNA from 1 species